rnacentral:tRNA from 1 species
CUGAGAGCGAUAGUAUUUCAGUUACGUUGAAUGAGACCUAUAAGGCGCUCUUU